rnacentral:rRNA from 1 species
UGGGGAAUUUUGGACAAUGGGCGAAAGCCUGAUCCAGCAAUGCCGCGUGUGUGAAGAAGGCCUUCGGGUUGUAAAGCACUUUUGUCCGGAAAGAAAUCCUUGGCUCUAAUACAGUCGGGGGAUGACGGUACCGGAAGAAUAAGCACCGGCUAACUACGUGCCAGCAGCCGCGGUAAUACGUAGGGUGCAAGCGUUAAUCGGAAUUACUGGGCGUAAAGCGUGCGCAGGCGGUUUGCUAAGACCGAUGUGAAAUCCCCGGGCUCAACCUGGGAACUGCAUUGGUGACUGGCAGGCUAGAGUAUGGCAGAGGGGGGUAGAAUUCCACGUGUAGCAGUGAAAUGCGUAGAGAUGUGGAGGAAUACCGAUGGCGAAGGCAGCCCCCUGGGCCAAUACUGACGCUCAUGAACGAAAGCGUGGGGAGCAAACAGGAUUAGAUACCCUGGUAGUCCACGCCCUAAACGAUGUCAACUAGUUGUUGGGGAUUCAUUUCCUUAGUAACGUAGCUAACGCGUGAAGUUGACCGCCUGGGGAGUACGGUCGCAAGAUUAAAACUCAAAGGAAUUGACGGGGUCAUAGCUG